GCACUGCUGAGGAGUCCCAGACUAGGGCGAAACGGCCGUCGAGUGU
rfam:Schistosoma haematobium scaffold66_39, whole genome shotgun sequence.